UGAACGCUGCUGGAACAAGGAGUACAGCCGGGGAAGUCUCGCAUCCGUCCCGCCCCACCGAUGCGUCUCUGGGGAGAUGCUGGCAGGCCUGGCGCUGGAGCCAUCAAGUCUGAGAAGAGAGGGCUCUACCUCUAGGGCAGGCAGACUGGACCCAAAGGGUGCUUCCAGACAAGCGCAAAAGCAAAGGGGAGACACCAGGAUUUUCAGGGAACCUCAUAUUACCUCAUCUGUUCUCAGAAAAUGAAGUGAAACGAGCACUGAAGGAACGUGAGUUUGAACUGAAAAAGACUCAUACCACUCCUCCAGGCUGCUGGGAGCAGGAUUAGACUGGCCGGGAGCCCACAGUCCGCUUCCUAGGUCCAUCCUCCCUUUUUGUUGUCUGUGGGUGGAUAAACCGCUGCUGACUUUGGCCAAGCCAACACCCAGAUGCCUG